ACAGCAGUCGCCACGGGAAUACAGAGGGUGCGAGCGUUAAUCGGAUUUACUGGGCGUAAAGCGUGCGUAGGCGGCUUCUUAAGUCGGAUGUGAAAUCCCUGAGCUUAACUUAGGAAUUGCAUUCGAUACUGGGAAGCUAGAGUAUGGGAGAGGAUGGUAGAAUUCCAGGUGUAGCGGUGAAAUGCGUAGAGAUCUGGAGGAAUACCGAUGGCGAAGGCAGCCAUCUGGCCUAAUACUGACGCUGAGGUACGAAAGCAUGGGGAGCAAACAGGAUUAGAUACCCCCGUAGUCCCUGUCUCUUAUCC
rnacentral:rRNA from 1 species